rnacentral:misc_RNA from 1 species
GAACUGCGAUACGUCAUGUGAAUUGCAGGUUCCAGUGAAUCAUCAAAUCUUUGAACGCAAAUGGCACCUCAGAGCAAUUCUCUGGGGUAUGCCUGGUUGAGUAAUCUUUAAACAAAAUUGUUCUUAAUCUUUGAUUGGGAGCAGAGUGUGAGGGUCAGAAGCGAUUCUGUCCCUUGAAAUGCAGGCUUGAAGGGCAGCGUGUCUGUUUCAUUCAAAUGAUCAAGUAUUUAUACAUUUUCUUUUGAGUGUCUCAUCCAUCUGUUCUCCUAGCUCUUGUAGCUUGCUACAAACUGUGGCCUUACCGUCACAAAACAAAAAAGUUCUCAACUCAGGUAGGAUUACCCCCUGAACUUAA